rnacentral:rRNA from 1 species
CUACGGGCUGCACCAGUGAGGAAUUUUGCGCAAUGGGGAAACCCUGACGCAGCGACGCCGCGUGGGUGAUGAAGGCUUUCGAGUCGUAAAGCCCUGUCAAGUGGGAAGAAAGGCAUGGUGGUGAACAGCCACUGUGUUUGACGGUACUACUAAAGGAAGCACCGGCUAACUCCGUGCCAGCAGCCGCAGGUAAUACGGAGGGUGCAAGCGUUGUUCGGAAUUACUGGGCGUAAAGGGCGCGUAGGCGGCGCUGUAAGUCAGAUGUGAAAGUCCACGGCUCAACCGUGGAAGUGCAUCUGAUACUGGAGUGCUUGAGUAUCGGAGGGGAAAGUAGAAUUCCCGGUGUAGAGGUGAAAUUCGUAGAUAUCGGGAGGAAUACCGGUGGCGAAGGCGACUUUCUGGACGAAUACUGACGCUGAUGCGCGAAAGCGUGGGGAGCAAACAGGAUUAGAUACCCGGGUAGUC